rnacentral:rRNA from 1 species
UUUAGUGACAAUAGCCACAGGGAUACACCUAGUAACAUUUCGAACCUAGAAGUUAAGUCUGUGCACGCCAAAGAUACUUAGUAAUAGGGAAAAUAGGUAGUUGCUAAAC